rnacentral:rRNA from 1 species
GACAGAGGGUGCAAACGUUGUUCGGAAUUACUGGGCGUAAAGCGCGUGUAGGCGGCCCGGAAAGUCGGACGUGAAAUCCCUCGGCUUAACCGGGGAACUGCGCUUGUAACUGGCAAGCUAGAGUGUGGCAGAGGGGGGUGGAAUUCCACGUGUAGCAGCGAAAUGCGUAGAGAUGUGGAGGAACACCGAUGGCGAAGGCAGCCCCCUGGGCUAACACUGACGCUCAUGCACGAAAGCGUGGGGAGCAAACAGG